AUUACUAUUUAUUUGUUAUAAAAUCUUUCAAUGUUCUGGUUUUUCUUCCUUCUUUACUCGGUAGUUAACAACAAUACAUUAAUCACCGAGAUGAGAGCUAUGGGUAAUCUAAUCCAAAACUUUUAGUUCAACUUGUUACGAUUGCAGUAGUCCAAUGGUUUUUAAACUUAAAAAACUAAUGAAAACAAUACACAAUGUACUGUAUCUCUAAUCUUCUGAUUCCUCAAAAUAAUAGUUUACUAACCGGCUUCAAAUAUUUGUUCCUUAAUUGGUGUACAGAGGAUCAUUUUCUGAGCGCUUGAUUGAUAUUUUUUACUAUCGGAUUGAUUAUAAACCAGGAUCGCGAAAACGUACCGAUUUAUAAAUCGUUGAUUAUUAAAACAUCUUUUUUAAUAUUGCACAUUAAACAAAAUUACAAGUGCAAAGCAAUAAUUAGUUUUCAAGCAGCUCCACAUUUUGAGUUGGUAAAUCAUUUUAAAAAAAAAUCAUCAAUAGUUCAUAUUUCAUGAAUACAUUUUUCUAAACACAAAU